rnacentral:misc_RNA from 1 species
AUCAAGAGUCAAGACAGAAAGUGAUAACUUGAUUUUGAGAAGGAGAAAAACAUUUCAAACAUUUGCAGAUAUAUUUACUGAAAAUUGAAGUUAUCAAGUUUAUGAUCUUUAAAUAGAGUGUCAAAACUUCUAGGUACAUCAACAAUUGCUUUGCUUGAAUUUUUGCAAGAAAAAAUUACAUGUGAUUUAUGGACACUAUUUUGUUUGCAAAAUUCAAUACAUUAGUUUUAAUAACGUAAUUUCUUCAUAGUUCAUACUAAUACUUGUAAAGAUGCAUCACAUAGAAAAACACUGCAAUAAAGAUGCAUAAAUUGGAGGCAUGCACUAAAUGAAGGCUUAAAAUAUUUUAAUCUUUUACCACAGAACAGAAGCUUCAACCUCUGGUUCUUUUUAUUGCAAUUUUUCACCAUGUCAUGUCUUACCAAUAUAGUAUAUGUG